UACAGAGGUCCCAAGCGUUGUUCGGAUUCAUUGGGCGUAAAGGGUGCGUAGGCGGCGCGGUAAGUCGGGUGUGAAAUCUCGGAGCUUAACUCCGAAACUGCAUUCGAUACUGCCGUGCUUGAGGACUGGAGAGGAGACUGGAAUUUACGGUGUAGCAGUGAAAUGCGUAGAGAUCGUAAGGAAGGCCGGUGGCGAAGGCGAGUUCCUGGACAGUUACUGACGCUGAGGCACGAAGGCCAGGGGAGCAAACGGG
rnacentral:rRNA from 1 species